rnacentral:rRNA from 1 species
GAUUAUGGCUCAGGACGAACGCUGGCGGCGUGCUUAACACAUGCAAGUUGAACGGUAUGACAUGGAAGCUUGCUGAAGUGUCACAUAGUAGCGGACGGGUGAGUAAUGCAUGAGAAGCUGCCAUUGGGAGGGGGACAACAGUUGGAAACGGCUGCUAAUACCCCGUAUGCCGGAAGGUGAAAGGGAGCGAUCCGCCCGAUGAGGUGCUCAUGUCCUAUCAGCUGGUUGGUGGGGUAACGGCCUACCAAGGCGACGACGGGUAGCCGGCCUGAGAGGGUGAACGGCCACACUGGAACUGAGAUACGGUCCAGACUCCUACGGGAGGCAGCAGUGGGGAAUAUUUGGGCAAUGGGGGCAACCCUGACCCAGCGACGCCGCGUGGGGGAAGACGGCCUUCGGGUUGUAAACCUCUUUUGUACGGGAAGAAGGAAGUGACGGUACUGUACGAAUAAGUCCCGGCUAACUACGUGCCAGCCGCUGC